UGAGUGGCAUUAACUAAAUAAGUUAAAACUUUCAACAACGGAUCUCUUGACUCUAGCAUCGAUGAAGAACGCAGCGAAAUGCGAUAAGUAAUGUGAAUUGCAGAAUUCAGUGAAUCAUCGAAUCUUUGAACGCACAUUGCGCCUGGCAGUAUUCUGCCAGGCAUGCCUGUCCGAGCGUCAUUUCACCACUCAAGCUCUGCUUGGUGUUGGAGGACCCGCGUUUAGUCGCGGGCCGCCGAAAUGCAUCGGCUGUUGUAUAUACAGCUUCCCUGUGUAGUAAAUGCUUAGCUUUACACUUUGAAACUUUUAUAUAACAUGCCGGAAAAC
rnacentral:misc_RNA from 1 species